UACGGAGGGAGCUAGCGUUAUUCGGAAUUACUGGGCGUAAAGCGCACGUAGGCGGCUUUGUAAGUUAGAGGUGAAAGCCUGGAGCUCAACUCCAGAACUGCCUUUAAGACUGCAUCGCUUGAAUCCAGGAGAGGUGAGUGGAAUUCCGAGUGUAGAGGUGAAAUUCGUAGAUAUUCGGAAGAACACCAGUGGCGAAGGCGACUUACUGGACACAUAUUGACGCUGAGGUGCGAAAGCGUGGGGAGCAAACAGG
rnacentral:rRNA from 1 species